GAUCCUGGCUCAGGAUGAACGCUAGCUACAGGCUUAACACAUGCAAGUCGAGGGGCAGCAUGAACUUAGCUUGCUAAGUUUGAUGGCGACCGGCGCACGGGUGAGUAACACGUAUCCAACCUGCCGAUGACUCGGGGAUAGCCUUUCGAAAGAAAGAUUAAUACCCGAUGGCAUAAUUCUUCCGCAUGGNAUAUUAAGUAAAUUAGUUCGA
rnacentral:rRNA from 1 species